AGAAAAUGAAAACAAAACAAAACACCAAAGUCAUUGCCCCUGAAGCAACUAUAAUUUUCUUUUCUUCUCAGAUGAACCCCACCUUCUCCACCAGCGAAUUUUAGAUUUAUUGGAUUUCUCCUAGCCACCAAGAAAAAUGAAUUUGAAGAGAUUCAACUUCUUACCUUCAAAUUUGAGCUGGCUCCAGCACACUCUUGAAACACACCUGGAGAGAACUCAAGCUAAUGCUAUACAGAAGAGCCAUCCAAGGGAAACUUCCCAAAGACUAGUUCCUUCUUUUUGGCUUUGUCCUGGCAAAAGUCUCCAAACAUCAGGAGUGCUCCACCCAAAAUUAUCAUAUAAAAGGAUAUGGACUUUUCACAAAUGCCUGUGGAGUCAACAGAUUAUGUCCACUGGGCUUUAUAGAGGGAGUUUUCAAUAACUUGUA
rnacentral:lncRNA from 1 species